UAAACGUCUGUUCAUUAGAUGACCUGAUUUUGUUUGUUUUGGCGUUUAAGAGAUUUGGGACACUCUGGUGGAAUGUGGUUUAGCACACUCACGUGUGUACUAUGUCUUCUAGUGAUUACUCAAAGUGCCUUGUCGGCUCAUGUUUGGUUCGGUUCAAAUCAACAACAUAUUUGUCACUGUGAGAACAACCAAUGCAACCCGGACGGGCAGUGUAAAGCUGGAACAAAGUGCGCACUCGGCUGGUUUGGUAAAACAUGCCAGUACAUGGAUCUACUAGGCAUAUUUAACAGCAAUGACAUAUUAACGGACAAUGAUGAUAAUACGUGUGUCGACGAUACAUUACAAUAUAAGGAAUUACGGUUGAUAGGAGAGUAUCCGACAUUGCAACUACGGUUG